CCUGCUCCCUCUGCCUCCCAGCCUCCUUGUGUCACCUGUUCCCUGUUCCUCUGAUUACCUGCCCUAUUGUUUCUUGUCCACCUUUGUCUGUAUUUAAGUUUGCCUUCGUCCUUUGUUCCACGUGGUGUUGUUAUGUCUUUUCAAUGUCCUCAUGAGAUGUCUUUUGGAUUUUAUCCUUGAACUGGAUAAUCUUGUCACCCUGCACCUCGCCUGCAUGUGGAGGUGCAGCACUGAUAGCUGGGACAUCAACGGCUGAAACCAUGAGAAACUAAAAUUCCCCCCUCCAAUUGUGGAGUCAUUCCUGUCAGCCCAGCAGAGACAGGGACCCAUUAUGAGUAAACCUAUUGGACAAACAAAACCUAAAAGCUGUUAAAUAAACCUUCUACUGCAAUACUGAAUUUUUUAUUUUAAAAAAAUUCAGACUUGUAUUGAGUGCAUUAAUUUUUUGGAUUAAAAAACAUAUCUUGAAAACUAAAUGUUUGUCAUCACACAUUUUUAAGAGUGCCUCCAAGUGAUUAAAUGAUUAUCAACUUAAAAAAUCUGAAUUUGUUGGACUGCAGUUGUGCUGAGGUUGCUUCAAGCAUUCUGCAGGCAGAUAUGAGCUAAUUUCAUCAGUGUAAAUAGAGAGUCCUCAUUAUUUAGAAUGAGACAUC